rnacentral:rRNA from 1 species
AGUGAACGCUGGCGGUAGGCCUAACACAUGCAAGUCGAACGGCAGCACAGUAAGAGCUUGCUCUUACGGGUGGCGAGUGGCGGACGGGUGAGGAAUACAUCGGAAUCUACUUUUUCGUGGGGGAUAACGUAGGGAAACUUACGCUAAUACCGCAUACGACCUACGGGUGAAAGCAGGGGAUCUUCGGACCUUGCGCGAUUGAAUGAGCCGAUGUGGGAUUAGCUAGUUGGCGGGGUAAAGGCCCACCAAGGCGACGAUCCGUAGCUGGUCUGAGAGGAUGAUAAGCCACACUGGAACUGAGACACGGUCAAGACUCCUACGGGAGGCAGCAGUGGGGAAUAUUGGACAAUGGGCACAAGCCUGAUCCAGCCAUACCGCGUGGGUGAAGAAGGCCUUCGGGUUGUAAAGCCCUUUUGUUGGGAAAGAAAAGCAGCAGGUUAAGACCCCGCUGUUCUGACGGUACCCAAAGAAUAAGCACCGGCUAACUUCGUG